rnacentral:rRNA from 1 species
UACGUAGGGGGCCAGCGUUGUCCGGAAUCAUUGGGCGUAAAGAGCGUGUAGGCGGCCAGGUAGGUCUGCUGUGAAAACUCGAGGCUCAACCUCGAGACGUCGGCGGAAACCAUCUGGCUAGAGUCCGGAAGAGGAGAGUGGAAUUCCUGGUGUAGCGGUGAAAUGCGCAGAUAUCAGGAAGAACACCAGUGGCGAAGGCGGCUCACUGGCUCGUAACUGACGCUCAUGCACGACAGCGUGGGGAUCAAACAGG